AGAGUUUGAUCCUGGCUCAGAUUGAACGCUGGCGGCAGGCCUAACACAUGCAAGUCGAGCGGUAGCACGAGAGAGCUUGCUCUCUGGGUGACGAGCGGCGGACGGGUGAGUAAUGUCUGGGAAACUGCCUGAUGGAGGGGGAUAACUACUGGAAACGGUAGCUAAUACCGCAUAACGUCUACGGACCAAAGUGGGGGACCUUCGGGCCUCACGCCAUCAGAUGUGCCCAGAUGGGAUUAGCUAGUAGGUGGGGUAAUGGCUCACCUAGGCGACGAUCCCUAGCUGGUCUGAGAGGAUGACCAGCCACACUGGAACUGAGACACGGUCCAGACUCCUACGGGAGGCAGCAGUGGGGAAUAUUGCACAAUGGGCGCAAGCCUGAUGCAGCCAUGCCGCGUGUGUGAAGAAGGCCUUAGGGUUGUAAAGCACUUUCAGCGAGGAGGAAGGGUUCAGUGUUAAUAGCACUGUUCAUUGACGUUACUCGCAGAAGAAGCACCGGCUAACUCCGUGCCAGCAGCCGCGGUAAUACGGAGGGUGCAAGCGUUAAUCGGAAUUACUGGGCGUAAAGCGCACGCAGGCGGUUUGUUAAGUCAGAUGUGAAAUCCCCGCGCUUAACGUGGGAACUGCAUUUGAAACUGGCGAGCUAGAGUCUUGUAGAGGGGGGUAGAAUUCCAGGUGUAGCGGU
rnacentral:rRNA from 1 species